rnacentral:lncRNA from 10 species
CACCGACUUACGCCUCACAAAAGACAUAUCAGGUUGUUACCAUUCCCUUUUUGCAAAUGAGAAACUGAGUCUCAGUGAAGUUGAGGGUCAUCUGCCAAUAGGCUUUUAUGGAAGAUAUUUUGGAAUGGAGAGAAAAGUCAACUUUCUUGUGUUUCCAGGAUGUUACUUCAGCAUGUCCACUGGAUACCUAGGUAUCCAGUAGGAUACUACGUAUCUGGAUAGAUCAAGGAUACUGAGAUGCUACGUAUCUCAGCAGAUCUGGUGGAGAAUUCCUUAAUUUACUGGAAAAGAAAGACUAAGCCAACAACUCUUUGGAAUCAGGCAGGGAAAAGAACAUCAUUUCAGACCAAUCGCGUUCCUAUGUGAGAGAACAAUCUGGAAAGUGUGGAUCUUGCCCAUGGGUGUACCAAAGCUGUGUUCUGAAGUAUCAAAUGCCUGCUGUGAUGGUUAAUACUAAGUGUCAACUUGAUUGGAUUGAAGGAUGCAAAGUAUUGAUUCUGAGUGUGUCUGUGAGUACGUUGUCAAAGGAGAUUAACAUUUGAGUCAGUGGGCUGGGAAAGGCAGACCCACUCUUAAUCUGGGUGGACACCAUCUAAUAUUCUAGCCAGCACGGCUAGAAUAUAAGCAGGCAGAAAAACGUGAAAAGAGAGACUGGUCUAGCCUCCCAGCCUACAUCUUUCUGGAUGCUUCCUGCCCUUGAACAUCAGACUCCAAGUUCUUCAGUUUGGGACUCAGACUGGCUUUCCCUGCUCCUCAGCUUGCAGACGACCUAUUGUGGGACCUUACGAUCAUUUAAUGAAAGACCCUAGGUUUGAAGAGAUUACAAGACAAGUCAUCAGAACAACCUGUGGGCAGUGUAAUGAAGCCUGGCAGUUAUCACAACUAUCACCGCUUUAAAAUAUUAAGUAUGAUACACAGUAGCAUCAAUUUUUAAAAUGUGGUCCUGGUAUUCCUGGCAGAUCCUGAGAUCUUUCUAGGAAGCCAAUGAGGUCUUCUUACUCCUCUGUGUGAUGAAAUGGAAGGCACUCACACUGGUCACAGUGGUCAUCUCAAGGAAAAGUACUUGUGCAUCUGAGUUGCAAGCUAAACUAGCAGCUCUUCUCCUGGAAUGCAUUUUUUUUUUUUUUUUUUUUUUUUUUUUUACAGAAAAGAAUGAACAAGUGUCAGAAAAGAAUGUUUAUUCAGACUUGGAUAUUUUAAAGACAUUUUAUCAAAAAUAAACUAAGUGAGCCUGCCACUUCAAAGAACACAACCGACAAAUUGUCGUCAAUAAUACUUGUCACGUUUCUAAGCAAAAAUCAGUUAGGAAGCUUCUGUCUACCAGCAUAAGCUUGACUUUUACCUAAUGUAUACUAUAAAACAUCCAGCCUCACACGGAUAUGUAGUGAGAAAAGGUGGAAGUAUUUUAAUAGCCUUUUAAGAUAAUUAGAUAGUUUAGAUAACUAAUAAUUUAGGAGAUAAUAAUUAUUCUCCUUUGAUACUGCACUAAAAACUGGCAUGUAGUAGUUUUUUAAAUAGUUGUUGGAAUGUGGAAUUUGAAGCCACAUAAGUGAUUUUUUUUUUUCUUUUUUGAGAUGGAGUCUCACUCUAUCUCCCAGGCUGAGUCUCACUCUAUCUCCCAGGCUGGAGUGCAGUGGCGCGAUCUUGGCUCAUUGCAACCUCUGCCUCCCAGGUUCAAGCCAUUCUCCUGCCUCAGCCUUCUGAGUAGCUGGGAUUACAGGCGUGUGCCACCACACCCAGCUAAUUUUUGUAUUUUUGGUAGAGAUGGGGUUUCACUAUGUUGGACAAACUGGUCUUGAACUCGUAACACCGCCCAGCGGUUGAUCUGCCUGCCUCGGCCUCCCAAAGUACUGGAAUUACAGGCGUGUGCCAUUGUGCCUGUCCAUAAGUGAUUUUUUUUCAUAUUUUAUUACAUUACUUCAUAUACUUCAACCAAACAACAUAUCACAACAUAUUGAAGGCAAAAGCAGAUACAAAAUUCGGUCAUUUUAUAUUAAAGCUGACUUUAAUUUAUAAAUUUAUAAAAGUAUAAAACAAUAUAUAUCUUCUCACUCAUUUUUAUUUUAAAAAUAGUUACUUUAUUAAAAUACGUUAUUUAUGUUAAUAUGUAAUAGGCUUAUAUUGUCAUAUUUGCAUGCAUUCAUAUAUAUUUUUAACUGUCUCAGUUUUAAUUGCUCAUACAGAACAUAAUUAGUAGAUAUAACCCAUACAAACAGAAGCUCUUUGGGGUCCUCAGUAGUUUUAAAGAGAGUAAAAGCAUUCUGUGAUCAAAAAGUUCAAAAACCAUUGCACUCUAACAAUCUUUGAGCUUGCAAAAAUUACCUCAAAAAGCCAUUUUCAGUAUGGAAUGAAUGGGUGUGAUGGCCCAGUUUCCAAUACCUACCGUCAUUUAGCCCCCAUUCCUUUUGAGCUAGUCCAGAGAGGUGUGGCUGGUAGGCAGAGAGUUGAGGCCUACAGAGCUCUGGUCAUUUAUCUAAAAUAUAGUUCUAACUCUAAAAUGGACAAAGGCUAAUAGCUGCACAUUUGUCCUAUAAGACAGAGCCCCAGUAUUAGGUGGUUGUGUGUAUCUCUUUUCCAUAGCAUCAACCCUGUAUCUCAGUGUAGGUAGCAUGUCAUCUUCUAGAAAGGUAACUUGAUACAGACCCAGGCUUGAAGAUAAGAGCGCCGGGUUCUCUUCUCAGACUCACCAUUAACCAGUCUUAUGACCUGAGCAGUCUCUCUCUCUGGACUUCAGUGUCCUUAUUCACAAAAGGCAGAUGUUUGGUAACAGGACCAUACGCUCUCUAAGAUAUUUUUCAACUUGGAAAUUCUAUGAAUCAAUUUGGAGAAAUAUUUGAAAGACAAUAAGAAUAACAGUUGACUUUUAUAUGGUAUUUUAUACUUGCUAAAUUACUUUUCCUUCCAAAUUCUUGGCUGGUGUUAAUUUCACGGCAAUUGAGAUUAAGGAUUCCAGAGGCGAUAGACUGGUAUUGAGUUCUGAUGUGUCACUAACCAGCUGUGUGGCCUUGAGUAGGUUAUUUAACCCAUCUACAGCUCAGAGAGUUGAUAAGGUGAUUAAAUGAGGUAAGGCAUGCACAGUAUUUAGAAUAGAUUCCGGCCUAUGUUACACACACAGUAACUAUUAUUAACACCUGAUUCAAUGUAUUGUAAUUGUAUGUUCACAUGUCUCUCUCCCCUCCUAGACUAUGAACUCCUUAUAGAUGAAGACCUCAUCCUGCUCAUCACUGCAUUCCUAGCAUAGUGCCUAGGUCAUAAUCAGUACUCAGUAAAUGCUCACUAAAUGGAAGAGUGGAUGACUUAUGUGAUAGUUUAAAUCAUUGUCCAGUAUAUAUUCAGUUCUCGAUACCUCCUUCUUUGGGCAGAGUUUAAUUUUCCAUGUUAUUUGGGUUGAUCCAUGAGAUUUCAGAGGGCUUAAAUGCACAUGUAUAGUUUGGCUUGAGUCUUGUGCUCUGAUGAUGAUAAUGGUGAUGAGGAUAAUCCAUGAGAAUUGUCAUCCAGAUAGCCAGUGCUUCUUUAGCAUGGGCCCCAGAAUGACAGAGACAGUGUAGCAGACAAUCAUGCUCUGAAGAACAGCCUUCUAGCCAGUACCACCCCUAAUCACAGACAGCUCUCCCAGGCAGUGCUGUAUUUCUUUCAUGGCAUCAUGUGAGAUUAAGCUGCCAGAAUUUUGCUGAUUUGGGGUGAACAGAAUUGUUUAUAUAUAGACAGGUCUCCACACGAAAUAUUCCUGUGUUGUCCAUACACUCCAAAAGCAGCCCUGCCAUGAGCCAAGGCCAUCCUAGACCACCUGAUAUUGACCUGAAGACUCAUGAAUACAAGAAUACAUGUCUGUUGCUAAAUGACUGAGAUUUGGGGAUGGUUUUAAAAAUGACAGUAAUGUGGCAAUCAUAGAUAGAUUGAUACAACUGUACAAUCUAUGAGGUAAUUGUUAUUGUUCUUCCCAUUUUAAAUGUGAGAAGAUUAACAAAGGGGAUAUCAUCUAGAAAGCACUUGUUCGCUAAUAAUAGAAAACAGCUCAAAUUGUUAUACAGGAUAAUAGAACCCAAAAAGGCAGAGGUAGUGCAAAGAGAGCUCCUGAUGAAGCUGAGCCAGUGGGUCCCCAGGGUCACCAGGAUCCCAUUUCUAUGUAUCUAUUCAUAUUGCCUUUUGCCAUGACAGUUUCUUCUUCGAGCUGCUAUGGGCUCAUCUGUGCAUAUUUGCACAGGCAGAGUUCCUAGAGCCUGUACCAUCUCUACAAGGUCCUCAAGACUCACUCUGAGCAGACCCUCUAGGGUCAACACCAGUCCUUAUCCAUUCCCAAUUCUACCCUGUGUAUGUGUGUUUUUAAUCAUCACUCACUUAUUUAACAAAUAUUUAUUGAGUGCCUUCUCUGUCAGGUACUUUUCUAUGUAGUGGGAAUACACUAUUGAAUGAGGCAGGAAUAGUCACUGUGCACGCGGGAGUUACAUACUCUAUAUUGUAUAUAAUAAUACAGACAAAUAGGCUAGGGAGAGAGGGAGCUAGAUAAUUAUAUAUACAGAAACCUAAUGAUGGCUAUCAUUUACCAAGACCAAAAGCAGGCAUUAUGCCAGAGGUUUUUAAUUCAAUCUUCAAAAUAAUGUUACAAGAUAAGACUUAUUGUUCACAUUUUUAUCAUUAACAAAAUGGUACACAGCAAAAAUGAGUAAUUUACUAGGCUCAAACAACAAGGCUAAAUUUAUAAUUUUUUGUUACUCAUCUGCCAUGCACAUUGCCUGUCAUACAUGAAAAAUCCUGUUCCUCUUUGGAUUAACUAUAAUUCCCAUACCAAAUGAUGUUAGAAUAAACUAUCCUUUAUUAAUUUUAUUAAUUUAGCUAAAUCCCUUAGAAUGCUUUGGCUAAAUACAAAGUGCUUAGAACCUCAUUUAUUAAUCAAUUUUUCAAAAAUAAAACAUUUUCUGUAUCUGUAGAUACUACAUGUAUAUCAUUGGUG